AAGACUAUAGACCUGCGGAGUACCUGCGGAGGGAUCAUUGGUGAACGCCCUCACGGGCUUAUAACUAUUCCAAACCUCUGUGAACCGUGCCCUUCGGGGCUAUUUUACAAACAUGGUGUAAUGAACGUCAUAUAUCAUAACAAAACAAAACUUUCAACAAUGGAUCUCU
rnacentral:misc_RNA from 1 species